AGGAAUAUUGGUCAAUGGGGGCAACCCUGAACCAGCCAAGUCGCGUGAAGGAUGAAGGUCUUAUGGAUUGUAAACUUCUUUUAUACAGGAAUAAAUUGGGGGACGUGUCCCCUUUUGCAUGUACUGUAUGAAUAAGGAUCGGCUAACUCCGUGCCAGCAGCCGCGGUAAUACGGAGGAUCCGAGCGUUAUCCGGAUGUAUUGGGUUUAAAGGGUGCGCAGGCGGGAUGUUAAGUCGGCGGUGAAAUUUUGCAGCUCAACUGUAAAAGUGCCUUCGAUACUGGCCUCCUUGAGUGUGGAUGAAGUAGGCGGAAUUUGUGGUGUAGCGGUGAAAUGCUUAGAUAUCACGAGGAACUCCGAUUGCGCAGGCAGCUUACUAAGCCACAACUGACGCUCAUGCACGAAGGCGUGGGGAUCAAACA
rnacentral:rRNA from 1 species